rnacentral:lncRNA from 1 species
CGCACGUGAGCGUAGCACCUACCCUUCCUUUCAUCUCCAUUGCAACACCGUGUGCCGCUAUUGCCACUCUGGCAGCCGUCGCCGAGGACAAGGUUAGGCUUCGCAGGGAAGAGGAAGAGGGGGAUCCGCGAGAUGCGUGAGGAUCCCCUGCCGAUGGAGGUCACAACAAUGUGCUAGCCGGUGGAGGACCCCCCCCCCCCCCCCCCACGUGGUCCGAUUACCGCUGCCAAGGUUUUGGGAUUCAAAAUCUAAAAAAAAAAUAAGUUCCUGUC